rnacentral:sRNA from 1 species
ACACGGGAGAGGAGGUGGUCCAGCAGAUGAGCUAUUGGACACGUGAGGUGGCCGUCAGCUAGCACCACGUUCUGCGUCGGCGGGGAGAACCCGUCCGGCGAGACGGUCGUGGAAGCCGGUGUGGUGCCGGCGAAUUCCAGACGGUCACCCGUGAUCCCCGGGUCCGGGCCACUCAGGUCCGGCGUGCGCACACCGGUGCGGCCCGGGGAUCACGCAUGUC